AGGUCAAGUUACUAAGGGCACACGGUGGAUGCCUUGGCAGCCGAACCGAUGAAGGACGUGGCUACCUGCGAUAAGCCUCGGGGAGCUGGAAGCAAGCUUUGAUCCGGGGAUUUCCGAAUGGGGAAACCCAGUGGGGCGAACCCCCACUACCCACAGCUGAAUACAUAGGCUGUGUGGAGGGAACCUAGGGAACUGAAACAUCUAAGUACCUAGAGGAAAAGAAAGAAAACUCGAUUCCCCCAGUAGCGGCGAGCGAAAAGGGAAUAGCCUAAACCGGUCCCUACGGGGACCGGGGUUGUAGGACCGGCAACGUGGACUCGAGCGUCUAGUCGAAGCGCACUGGAAAGGCGCGCCAAAGACGGUGACAGCCCAGUAGACGAAAGACGCGGAAGCCUAGCCGGCACCUGAGUAGCGCGAGUCACGUGGAACCUCGCGUGAAUCUACGGGGACCACCCCGUAAGGCUAAAUAUUCCGGCUGACCGAUAGUGAACCAGUACCGUGAGGGAAAGGUGAAAAGCACCCCGUGAGGGGAGUGAAAUAGUACCUGAAACCGUGUGCUUACAAGCAGU
rnacentral:rRNA from 2 species